rnacentral:sRNA from 1 species
ACUUCCCGGGCCGGAACGAAAAGGAAUUGGGUGUCGAGGACGCCGAUGAACUUUUGGCUUGUGGUUGUGAUGUUGUGUUUGCAAAUUGUCCGGCAAUCCGGACGUGGUAGCUAAGCUACUGUUUUUUCACUUCCUGUAC